AACGCGAAGAACCUUACCAGCUUUUGACAUGUCCAGUAUGGUCGCCAGAGAUGGCUUCCUUCCCGCAAGGGGCUGGAACACAGGUGCUGCAUGGCUGUCGUCAGCUCGUGUCGUGAGAUGUUGGGUUAAGUCCCGCAACGAGCGCAACCCUCGCCUUUAGUUGCCAUCAUUCAGUUGGGCACUCUAGAGGGACUGCCGGUGAUAAGCCGGAGGAAGGUGGGGAUGACGUCAAGUCCUCAUGGCCCUUACAGGCUGGGCUACACACGUGCUACAAUGGCGGUGACAGAGGGAUGCAAUGGCGCGAGCCCACGCAAAUCUCAAAAAGCCGUCUCAGUUCGGAUUGCACUCUGCAACUCGAGUGCAUGAAGUUGGAAUCGCUAGUAAUCGCGGAUCAGCACGCCGCGGUGAAUACGUUCCCGGGCCUUGUACACACCGAGACGAC
rnacentral:rRNA from 1 species